rnacentral:rRNA from 1 species
GGAGGAAGGUGGGGAUGACGUCAAGUCAUCAUGGCCCUUACGACCAGGGCUACACACGUGCUACAAUGGCGCAUACAAAGAGAAGCGACCUCGCGAGAGCAAGCGGACCUCAUAAAGUGCGUCGUAGUCCGGAUUGGAGUCUGCAACUCGACUCCAUGAAGUCGGAAUCGCUAGUAAUCGUGGAUCAGAAUGCCACGGUGAAUACGUUCCCGGGCCUUGUACACACCGCCCGUCACACCAUGGGAGUGGGUUGCAAAAGAAGUAGGUAGCUUAACCUUCGGGAGGGCGCUUACCACUUUGUGAUUCAUGACUGGGGUGAAGUCGUAACAAGGUAACCGUAGGGGAACCUGCGGUUGGAUCACCUCCUUACCUGAAAGAAGC